GAUGAACGCUGGCGGCGUGCCUAAUACAUGCAAGUCGAGCGAACGGACGAGAAGCUUGCUUCUCUGAUGUUAGCGGCGGUCGGGUGAGUAACACGUGGAUAACCUACCUAUAAGACUGGGAUAACUUCGGGAAACCGGAGCUAAUACCGGAUAAUAUUUUGAACCGCAUGGUUCAAAAGUGAAAGACGGUCUUGCUGUCACUUAUAGAUGGAUCCGCGCUGCAUUAGCUAGUUGGUAAGGUAACGGCUUACCAAGGCAACGAUGCAUAGCCGACCUGAGAGGGUGAUCGGCCACACUGGAACUGAGACACGGUCCAGACUCCUACGGGAGGCAUCAGUAGGGAAUCUUCCGCAAUGGGCGAAAGCCUGACGGAGCAACGCCGCGUGAGUGAUGAAGGUCUUCGGAUCGUAAAACUCUGUUAUUAGGGAAGAACAUAUGUGUAAGUAACUGUGCACAUCUUGACGGUACCUAAUCAGAAAGCCACGGCUAACUACGUG
rnacentral:rRNA from 1 species